GGGGAUUUCUUAUGUUAUAACAAACUACCUAAAAUAAAUCAAUAUAUAAUGAAAAUCGUCACGAACAAAAAAGAGUUUUUGGUCUUAUUCGAAUCAGCCCUAGCUUGUUUAGUCAUGAUCCGAUCCAAGGGACGAACUCAAGUGACAAUGUCAUUUAGUAUUUCCAUCAAUAUCUGUUGGGAUCAUCAUUUUCGAAUGGCUACCCAUCCCACCCCACCUAGGCUGGAUGUCAAGUCUAACGGUGUUCUAUGACAAGGAUAAAACUAGUGUCUUUUAGCAAUACUUAUCGUCUCACCUAUCGUCCAAGAGGCAUUGGACUUUAAUAUUUUUGGAUUUGUGUUGUAGACAAAAGUAAAGCUAUGUUGCCUAGGACUCAAAGCGCGUAACAUGUUGGACAACAAGUACCACAUAAUAAUCCCAAGUUAGCCUCUUGGUUUAUUACUGUUUGUUAGUGUGAUAGCAUGCACAGACAAAUUACUAUUGUUGAUUAACCUAUAGGCAUCAUGUCUAAAUGUGUAACAAGUGGUAAAAAAAAAAAACAACUGUUAUUCGUGUAUGCAACAAUGUGUGUUAAAAGGGUGUGAAAGGUGUGGUGAAUGUGUCAAGAAAUUACUCUCAUGACAUGCUAAGAUGCCUAACAAUUUAUGUUUAACCUGCUAGAAGUAUGCAAAGAUGCCUAGAAAUCACAUAUUUAACAUGCUGAAAUUGUAUUUAAACAUGCUGAAAAUAAUAUUAAGGCGUAGUAAAUUCAUGUUAAUAUGCAGACUUGCCAAGAAUGCCUAAAACAUGCUGAACACUAGUGUGCUAGUAUUUAACAUGCUGGGCAUUAAUUGAUAUACUGACAAUUAAUUUGUUUUGCUAGAAAUUCAACAUGUUCGUAUUUUUUUACUGUGUAAGAAUACUGAAAUUUAAUGCAGACAUGCUAUAGGUCAAAAAUAGGUUGACAUGAUGAAUGUCAAAUUAACAUGGUAACAAUAUAUUAAAUGCUAAAAUUAAUUCAUGCUCCAGAUUUAUAAUGAUAGGUAAUGUUUAUCAUACUGAAAACGAAAUGUCAAGUUACAUGUAUUAUUAUGCUGGAAAUGAUUUUAGUAAAGUAAAACAAACUUGAUUGCUAAAAGUUAUAAUACUAAUGCAAUAAUUUGCAUCAACAUACUAAAAUGCAAAAAAUGGCUCAUUCAUUAUUUAAUAUGCUAAAAAAUAUAAAAAAUUUAACAUUCAAAUAUGCUAAAUACACUUUAAUAUGAAAAAGAUGUAUUUAAACACUGAAAUAUGUGAGAAUUUAUUUUUUAAAACUACGAAGUUAUAGUAAUGUAUGAAAUUCUUUAAUUGCUAAAGAAAUAUUUGAUUCUUUAAAAAGUUAAUAUGUGAUGGAAAUUACUUUAUCAUGCUCAAUUUAUGUUAACAUGCUAAACACACAAUGACACAUUAAGAUUAUUGACAUCUAAUGCUCAAUAUGACAAUGGACUGAAAUUAAUUAAUAAAUGAAUUAAAUAUUGCGUAUGUUAAUCAAUCCUAAAUUUGUGUGCCUAGGUGAUUCACAUAGCACGUAACGUAUAUAAAACCUAAAUCAGUGCCUAUCAAUACUAUUCACAGAGCAUGUAGUUCCCCACCCACCAAAGCAGUCCCCAAAAAUUAUUAUUACAAUAAUAAUAGAUGUCUUUAAAGAUAUUACAAACCAAAUACUAAAAGAAGAAGAAAUGACUAACUAAAUGGGACUACAGAGUCCGUUAAUCAUCCCGGCGACUCUUCAGUUUUCAAAACCUGUUAGACACAAUGAAAUGGUAUGGCAAGCAUAAGAAGGAUGAUAGCACAUAUCAACAUAUAGCAGACAAACAUAGCACAAUUAUUUCCUAUAGAGCUGAUUUCUAGUUUUUG
rnacentral:lncRNA from 1 species